CCUACGGGUGGCAGCAGUGAGGAAUAUUGGUCAAUGGGCUAAGGCCUGAACCAGCCAAGUCGCGUGAGGGAAGACGGUCCUAUGGAUUGUAAACCUCUUUUGUCGGGGAGCAACGAGGCCACGUGUGGCCGAAGUGAGAGUACCCGAAGACAAAGCAUCGGCUAACUCCGUGCCAGCAGCCGCGGUAAUAUGGAGGAUGCGAGCGUUAUCGGGAUUUAUUGGGUUAAAAGGGUGCGAAGGGGGAACAUUAAGUCAGCGGUAAAAUCGAGGGGCUCAACACGUUUAAGCCGUUGAAACUGGGGAUCUUGAGUGGGCGAGAAGUAUGCGGAAUGCGUGGUGUAGCGGUGAAAUGCAUAGAUAUCACGCAGAACUCCGGUGGCGAAGGCAGCAUACCGGCGCCCGACUGACGCUGAGGCGCGAAAGCGUGGGGAUCGAACAGGAUUAGAUACCCUAGUAGUC
rnacentral:rRNA from 1 species